AGUAAAUAGAUACCCGGGUAGUCCACGCCGUAAACGAUGAGUACUAGGUGUAGGAGGUAUCGACUCCUUCUGUGCCGCAGUUAAACACAAUAAGUACUCCGCCUGGGAAGUACGGUCGCAAGAUUAAAACUCAAAGGAAUUGACGGGGGCCCGGCACAAGCAGCGGAGCAUGUGGUUUAAAUUCGAAGCAACGCGAAGAACCUUACCUAGACUUGACAUCUCCUGAAUAGUGUAGAGAUACAUGAAGCCCUUCGGGGUCGAGGAAGACAGGUGGUGCAUGGUUGUCGUCAGCUCGUGUCGUGAGACGUU
rnacentral:rRNA from 1 species